rnacentral:rRNA from 1 species
UCAUAUGCUUGUCUCAAAGAUUAAGCCAUGCAUGUCUCAGUACAAGCCAAAUUAAGGUGAAACCGCGAAAGGCUCAUUAUAUCAGUUAUGGUUCCUUAGAUCGUACAUAAUUUUACUUGGAUAACUGUGGUAAUUCUAGAGCUAAUACAUGCAAACAGAAUUCCAACCAGAGAUGGAAGGAAUGCUUUUAUUAGAUCAAAACCAAUCGAUAUUUAUUUGUUCAUUCAAAUUUAUUUGGUGUUCAUAUCAUUUAUCGUUUUUUUUGGUGACUCUGAAUAACUUUAAGCAGAUCGCACGGUCUUGCACCGGCGACGCAUCUUUCAAAUGUCUGCCUUAUCAACUGUCGAUGGUAGGUUAUGCGCCUACCAUGGUUGUAACGGGUAACGGGGAAUCAGGGUUCGAUUCCGGAGAGGGAGCCUGAGAAACGGCUACCACAUCCAAGGAAGGCAGCAGGCGCGCAAAUUACUCACUCCCAGCACGGGGAAGUAGUGACGAAAAAUAACGAUGCGGGACUCAUCCGAGGCCCCGUAAUCGGAAUGAGUACACUUUAAAUCCUUUAACGAGGACCAAUUGGAGGGCAAGUCUGGUGCCAGCAGCCGCGGUAACUCCAGCUCCAAUAGCGUAUAUUAAAAUUGUUGCGGUUAAAAAGCUCGUAGUCGAACUUGUGUCCCACACUGUUGGUUCACCGCUCGCGGUGUUCAACUGGCAUGUUGUGAGACGUCCUACCGGUGGGUGGUGUGCUUCAUUUAUGUAUAUUGAUGUUAAUAUAUGUGUGCUCAUCAACAUGAUGUGGUAUCAUUAUAUAUUGCACAAUUUUAUAUAGGUGUUGUGCCGUAAGUGCUUAGCUGUCCCGACAGCGGCAGCCCCCAAAUAAUCCCAUUGCGGUUCUCUUAAUUGAGUGUCGAGAUGGGCCGGUACGUUUACUUUGAACAAAUUAGAGUGCUUAAAGCAGGCCAAUAUAAAGCCUGAAUAUUGUGUGCAUGGAAUAAUGGAAUAGGACCUCGGUUCUAUUUUGUUGGUUUUCGGAACUCCGAGGUAAUGAUUAAUACGGACAGAUGGGGGCAUUCGUAUUGCGACGUUAGAGGUGAAAUUCUUGGAUCGUCGCAAGACGGACAGAAGCGAAAGCAUUUGCCAAAAAUGUUUUGAUUGAUCAAGAACGAAAGUUAGAGGUUCGAAGGCGAUCAGAUACCGCCCUAGUUCUAACCAUAAACGAUGCCAGCUAGCGAUCCGCCGAAGUUCCUCCGAUGACUCGGCGGGCAGCUUCCGGGAAACCAAAGCUUUCGGGUUCCGGGGGAAGUAUGGUUGCAAAGCUGAAACUUAAAGGAAUUGACGGAAGGGCACCACCAGGAGUGGAGCCUGCGGCUUAAUUUGACUCAACACGGGAAAACUCACCAGGCCCAGACACCGGAAGGAUUGACAGAUUAAGAGCUCUUUCUUGAUUCGGUGGGUGGUGGUGCAUGGCCGUUCUUAGUUGGUGGAGCGAUUUGUCUGGUUAAUUCCGAUAACGAACGAGACUCUAGCCUGCUAAAUAAACGUACUUUACUAGCAUAUUAAGGCCCAUCUGCUGAUUGUUUCGCAUUUAUAUGUUAGCAUGUUCUAUUUUAGUUGUAGUAUACUUUAACACAUAUGUCUAUGCUUGUGGGUCACUACUAGUUUUACUGGAUAUAUUCCUUGUAUGGCUAUGUGUGGGUAUCUCAGCUGAGUUUUACAUGCGCAUGUAAUCGGACUUCAGUUAUGAUGUGGUUUUUACUGCUGGCGUACAAUUUAAACUUCUUAGAGGGACAAGCGGAUUUAUCCGCACGAGAUUGAGCAAUAACAGGUCUGUGAUGCCCUUAGAUGUUCUGGGCCGCACGCGCGCUACACUGAAGAAAUCAACGUGUCCUCCUUGGCCGAAAGGUCCGGGUAACCCGCUGAAACUUCUUCGUGAUAGGGAUUGGGGCUUGCAAUUGUUCCCCAUGAACGAGGAAUUCCCAGUAAAUGCGAGUCAUAAGCUCGCGUUGAUUACGUCCCUGCCCUUUGUACACACCGCCCGUCGCUACUACCGAUUGAAUGAUUUAGUGAGGUCUUCAGACCGGUACUCGGGAACGUUUCGACAUUGCCGAUGUUGCUGGGAAGAUGACCAAACUUGAUUAUUUAGAGGAAGUAAAAGUCGUAACAAGGUUUC